rnacentral:rRNA from 1 species
UACGUAGGCAGCAAGCGUUGUUCGGAGUUACUGGGCGUAAAGGGUGUGUAGGCGGUUCCUUAAGUUUGCUGUGAAAUCUCCCGGCUUAACCGGGAGGGUGCGGUGAAUACUGAGGGACUAGAGUACGGGAGAGGAAAGUGGAAUUCCUGGUGUAGCGGUGAAAUGCGUAGAUAUCAGGAGGAACACCAGCGGCGAAGGCGGCGCUCUGGGCCGGUACUGACACUGAGGAGCGAAAGCGUGGGUAGCAAACAGG